rnacentral:piRNA from 1 species
UUCAAAAGGAUUUGUGGUUCUGGCAAUUGU